rnacentral:rRNA from 1 species
AUGGAAAGAACUUUGAAAAGAGAGUGAAAAGCGCUUGAAACCGUCACGGGGGAAGCGGAUUGCGUGAGUGAUGGUGUGCACAGUUUAGCGCGAGUGUAUUCUGUGCGCACCGGGCGUGUGUGGCUGGGGUGCGUGCCUGGCACGCGUUCCUGGUGAGGGCUCCCCGCUCGUCGGGUGAGAACACACGCGAAAUGACCCAAUACGACCCGUCUUGAAACACGGACCAAGGAGUCUAGCACGGCUGCGAGUCGAAGGGUGUGAAAACCCAGAGGGCGCAGUGAAAGCGAAAGAAAGCAAAUUGGGGAGGCGUUGCGGUUCUACCAAAGUGUCCUACCUCGAGCACCUGUGCUGGGACCCGAAAGAUGGUGAACUAUGCCGGAGUAGGGCAAAGCCAGAGGAAACUCUGGUGGAGGCUCGUAGCGAUGCUGACGUGCAAAUCGCUCGUCGAACUUGGGUAUAGGGGCGAAAGACUAAUCGAACCAUCUAGUAGCUGGUUCCCUCCGAAGUUUCUCUCAGGAUAGCGGGCCGACGACGUGUUGUUUUGUGC